ensembl:processed_transcript 5930403N24Rik RIKEN cDNA 5930403N24 gene
CUCAUUUUGAACUUGUCUGUGCACAGCAUCAAGUGUGCUCCUGGAAGAGAGGCAACAGCGAGGAAAUCCUAAAAGACCGAGUCCUAGUCUCAGAAGAAAUCGCCUGCAAGGUUGAGAGACAGAAAGAAAAUCCCUGGAGACUCCACGUCUAACCCAGGCUAAAGGCAAAGCUCUACAGCGGUGUGUAGGAUAUCUCUCUCGUUCGCUACAGCCCUUGCCACCGAAGUACCAGACGCUUUUAGUGUGUGAAAGACCAGGCGUUGAUUUAAUGUAUCUGGAAGGGAGAGGGGAUAGAGGAUGCAACUUAAUAAAUAUUCCUCUAGUCUCGCUCAUGAAAACAUCCAAAACAUCUUUCGGCGUUUGCAUUUAAUGACUGCAACGUGAACGAUGGAGGCGAGAAGCAGUCGAGGGAAUGGCUCGUUUCUCUUAGUGUUGGCUCGGAAUUGUCAAACAGUUACUUUCUGUUCAUUGUAGGGAAAUAGGUCACACUUUGAGUGAAAAGGACAGUUGGUUCAAGCCAAUAACCCUUUGUUCAAGUGCUGUUUGACAGUCCCUGAGCAGAACAUCGUUGCGUGAAGUUUCAUCUCCUGUCCAGUACCUUUAGAUACAUUAUUAAAUCCCAAAGUCAUAUUCCACGGAGCGCCUGGAAGGAAUAUUUCGUCGAAACGCGUCUUGCCAACCAACGUGUUAGCACCCGUAAGGAAGCCUGCUGGACUGGCCCGAGAACCCGGCCGCCAGGAUGGACACGAAUCCCUCAUUAGCAGUUCCAACUUGAAAAGUCAACUGGGCUGGUCCAACACCACCAUCCAGGAGAUUCCCAAAGGCUCAAAAGUGGGUGUCUAUGCAUAAAGAAGACAGCAACAUGAAGCUGAGAUUGAUUCCCAUUGGUACUGAAUCAGAACUCAUAGAAACAAGUAAAUCUCCUUGGAAAUUAUCACCUAUCAGGUCACCAUCACACCAAGGCACUCGAAGAGACAUUGACGGCGAAAAGGAAUUGAACUCAAUGGGAAAGCACGGCACCAUGAAGGAGCCACCAUGCAAGGGCAGCAAGUGAAUCCAGGGGAGGUCUGUCUCCAAGAAGACGAGCAAGGAAGGCCGAAAUGCUCAUUUGUAAAGGAAGUAUUUGAAAUGUCACCCUCCCCCUUUUUUUCUAAACUGUUUUCUUGGGAAGCCUUCUUAUAGAAACUUAAGAAAAGAUGACUGGGAAUUUAUAUUGUUGAUAUGGGCACACCACGUCAAGGACCCCAAUGCCUCAGACCUCUGCAAAUGAUAAAGCUUCCAUGGGUCAGGUUUGGAGAAAUGGCAAAGCCUUCCACUCUCCCGAGUACCAGUAUUGACAACUGAUUGCUCUUUAGUUAAUGCCAGUGUAGAGUUAGCACCCACCAGAACCAUGGCUUCCUCCUGCUGCAUAUUUACAACUUAAGACUGUUCCCCUAUGAAGACUUCCCACUCAGACAAGCUAACCCCUCAGUGGUGGUUUGAAUGAGAAUGACCCCUGUACAAUCAUACAGUUGAAUGCCCCCCCCCCCACCCAGUUGGCGAAUCUGUUUGGGAAGGAUUAGGAGGUGUAGACUUGGAGGAGGUGUGUUACUGGAGGUGGUCUUUGAGGUUUAAGAAGCCCCCACCAUUUCCAAGUAGAAUCUCUCUCUGCCUAGUGCUUGUGAAUCAGAUAUAAACUCUCAACUGCUUCUACAGUGCCUACCUGCCUGUUUUCAUGUUUCCUGCCCUGAUAGUCAUGGACUCACCCUCUGAAACUGUAAGCAAAUUCUCAAUAAAAUACCUUCUUCUAU